rnacentral:misc_RNA from 1 species
AAGUCGUAACAAGGUUUCCGUAGGUGAACCUGCGGAAGGAUCAUUAUCGAGUCCAAUCCAGCUCAUUUCUGGCUGUGCAUUCACUUGCACGCCGGGGCGAGUUGGCUCUUGAACUUCUCACACCUGUGCACCUUCUCGUGCCUUCUCCGUCGUCGUCCUUUGUUGGGCGACUCCACCGCUUGCGGUGGGAUUCGGGCGUUGCAGUAAAUUUGCUUUUACGGCUCGCCUCGGGGAGAAGGCACUUGCUUUUUUACACCUUUUUUGUAUGUCUUAGAAUGUCUUGGAUUGCCCUGUGAUGGGGUAGUCCUUAAUUAAAUACAACUUUCAGCAACGGAUCUCUUGGCUCUCC